GUGGGAGGGGGCUUGCUCCCGAUGGCGGUGAGUCAGUCAGAUCAUUGACAACUGACACUCCGCUAUCGCGGGCAAGCCCCCUCCCAC
rnacentral:misc_RNA from 1 species